AUUGAACGCUGGCGGCAUGCCUUACACAUGCAAGUCGAACGGUAACGCGGGGCAACCUGGCGACGAGUGGCGAACGGGUGAGUAAUAUAUCGGAACGUGCCCAGUAGUGGGGGAUAGCCCGGCGAAAGCCGGAUUAAUACCGCAUACGACCUACGGGUGAAAGGCGGGGGAUCGCAAGACCUCGCGCUAUUGGAGCGGCCGAUAUCAGAUUAGGUAGUUGGUGGGGUAAAGGCCUACCAAGCCUACGAUCUGUAGCUGGUCUGAGAGGACGACCAGCCACACUGGGACUGAGACACGGCCCAGACUCCUACGGGAGGCAGCAGUGGGGAAUUUUUGGACAAUGGGCGCAAGCCUGAUCCAGCCAUGCCGCGUGCGGGAAGAAGGCCUUCGGGUUGGUAAACCGUACGUUUUUCGUUCGUAGGGAAGGAAACGAC
rnacentral:rRNA from 1 species